CCAAUAGCGUAUAUUAAAGUUGCUGCGGUUAAAAAGCUCGUAGUUGAAUUUCGGAAUUGAUGCAUCGGUCGUGCCUUAAGGGGCAUGAACUGGUGUAGCCAAUUUCUCACCUUCUGGUGAAUUGUGAUGUUCUUAAUGGGUGUCUCAAUUAACUAGAAUUUUUUACUUUGAAAAAAUUAGAGUGUUUAAAGCAGGCAUUGAUUUGCUUGAAUACAUUAGCAUGGAAUAAUGAAAUAGGACAGUGGUUCCGUUUUGUUGGUUUCUAGGAUCACGUAAUGAUUAAUAGGGACAGUUGGUGGCAUUAGUAUUCAAUUGUCAGAGGUGAAAUUCUUGGAUUUAUUGAAGACUAACUAUUGCGAAAGCAUUUGCCAAGGAUGAUUUCAUUAAUCAAGAACGAAAGUUAGGGGAUCAAAGACGAUUAAGUACGUCGUAGUCCUAACCAUAAACUAUACCGACUAGGAAUCAGACGAUGUUAAUUUUUUAAUGACUCGUUUGGUACCUUACG
rnacentral:misc_RNA from 1 species